UUCAUCUCUGAUUUUCAUGCACUUACCGGUGCUGGAUUAUCUUUAGCUUCCACACCAAAAACAUUCCGUCGUUUCACUGUCAGCAAAUCAAGAUCUUUAUUAUCAUCGUCGUCAUCGUCGUCAUCAUC